GGGGAUUUAGCUCAGUGGCAGAGCACUUGCCUAGCAAGCACAAGGCCCUGAGUUCAGUCCCCA
rnacentral:tRNA from 1 species